AUCCAACUGUAGAGCCUCAAAUAGGACGAAACAUGCGUCCUGGAU
rnacentral:hammerhead_ribozyme from 1 species